AGAGAGAGACAUGCGCGCAUAUCAAUAAGCGGAGGAAAAGAAACUAACAAGGAUUCCCUCAGUAACGGCGAGUGAAGCGGGAAGAGCUCAAAUUUGAAAUCUUCAAGGUUCUACCUUGACGAAUUGUAGUUUAAAGAAGUGUUUUCUGCUGAAGUUUUGGUAAAAGUUCUUUGGAAUAGGACAUCAUAGAGGGUGAGAAUCCCGUAUUUGACCAUUAUUUUCAGCUUUGUGAUACACUUUCAAAGAGUCGGAUUGUUUGGGGGGGAAUGCAGUCCAAAAUGGGUGGUAAAUUUCAUCUAAAGCUAAAUAUUGGCGAGAGACCGAUAGCGAACAAGUACCGUGAGGGAAAGAUGAAAAGAACUUUGAAAAGAGAGUUAAACAGUACGUGAAAUUGUCAAAAGGGAAGCGUUUGACACCAGUGUUGUUUUCUCGAAAAUCAAUUAAAAAUGGCUCGAUUUUGUAUUGCUUGAGACCUUAAAAGCUCACUGUACAUUUUUCGUGUCUUUUUUAAUGCACUUUUCGUUUAACAAGUCAACAUCAGUUUCUUUUGUUGUAAAAGGGUCAUUGGAAGGUGACUUUCUUUUCGGAGAAAGUGUUUAUAGCCUUUGGCCUCUGCAAUCGAAGAGACUGAGGUCUGCAGCGUAGACUCUUCGGGGUUAGAUACAUUUGUGCUAAGCUAUAGCCUUUUAUAGACAACUUGUUGACUAUAAUUAGUCUUGUAGCUUACUCGCUUAUGCUAUUUUACCUACGCUUAGGAUGUUGAAGAUGUAGCACAUCAU
rnacentral:rRNA from 1 species